rnacentral:pre_miRNA from 1 species
AGUGGGAUAGCUGGGUCAUAUGGUGGCUCCAUUCUUAGUUUUUCAAGGAAUCUCCAUAGUGCUUUCUAGAAUAGUUGUACUAAUUUGCAGUCCCAUCAACAAU